rnacentral:rRNA from 1 species
UACAGAGGUCUCAAGCGUUGUCCGGAUUCAUUGGGCGUAAAGGGUGCGUAGGCGGCGCGGUAAGUCGGAUGUGAAAUCUCGGAGCUUAACUCCGAAACUGCAUUCGAUACUGCCGUGCUUGAGGGUUGGAGAGGAGAUCGGAAUUCACGGUGUAGCAGUGAAAUGCGUAGAUAUCGUGAGGAAGACCAGUGGCGAAGGCGGAUCUCUGGACAAAACCUGACGCUGAGGCGCGAAGGCUAGGGGAGCAAACGGG